rnacentral:snRNA from 14 species
AGACCUGACAGGAGAGAUCCCAUGGUCACCCAGCUGGUUUUUCCAGGGUGAGACCUGUCCCUUGCACUCCAGGUAGGCUGACCCCUGCAAGCUUCCCAAACACAGGAAACUUGACUGCACAAUUUUGUGGCAGUAGGUGACUGGUUUCUUGUGUUCCCC